AGGGAAGAGAUGACAAGAUACUCUUUGAGGGCUGGAAUAUGGUGUAGUGGUAAAGUGCUCACCUCCUAUACAUGAAGCCUUGGGUUCGAUUCCUCAGCACCACAUAUAUAGAAAAUGGCCAGAGGUGGCGCUGUGGCUCAAGUGAUAGAGUGCUAGCCUUG